rnacentral:rRNA from 1 species
CUUUACUGUAACCUGGAAUUGGGUUCGGGCUUUGCUUGCGCAGGAUAGGUGGGAGGCUAAGAGAAUACCCUUGUGGGGGGGUAUUGGAGCCACUGGUGAGAUACCACUCUAGUGAGGCUAGAAUUCUAACUGAAAGCCGUUAUCCGGCUUUGGGACAGUUUCAGGCGGGCAGUUUGACUGGGGCGGUCGCCUCCUAAAUGGUAACGGAGGCGCGCAAAGGUUCUCUCAGGCUGGUUGGAAAUCAGCCGUAGAGUGUAAAGGCAUAAGAGAGCUUGACUGUGAGACCCACAAGUCGAACAGGGACGAAAGUCGGCUUUAGUGAUCCGACGGCGCUGCGUGGAAAGGCCGUCGCUAAACGGAUAAAAGUUA